UACGUAGGGUCCGAGCGUUGUCCGGAAUUAUUGGGCGUAAAGAGCUCGUAGGCGGUUUGUCGCGUCUGCUGUGAAAUCCCGAGGCUCAACCUCGGGUCUGCAGUGGGUACGGGCAGACUGGAGUGCGGUAGGGGAGAAUGGAAUUCCUGGUGUAGCGGUGGAAUGCGCAGAUAUCAGGAAGAACACCGAUGGCGAAGGCAGUUCUCUGGGCCGUAACUGACGCUGAGGAGCGAAAGCGUGGGGAGCGAACAGG
rnacentral:rRNA from 1 species